GAUGAACGCUGGCGGCGUGCCUAAUACAUGCAAGUCGAGCGAACGGACGAGAAGCUUGCUUCUCUGAUGUUAGCGGCGGACGGGUGAGUAACACGUGGAUAACCUACCUAUAAGACUGGGAUAACUUCGGGAAACCGUAGCUAAUACCGGAUAAUAUUUUGAACCGCAUGGUUCAAAAGUGAAAGACGGUCUUUCUGUCACUUAUAGAUGGAUCCGCGCUGCAUUAGCUAGUUGGUAAGGUAACGGCUUACCAAGGCGACGAUGCAUAGCCGACCUGAGAGGGUGAUCGGCCACACUGGAACUGAGACACGGUCCAGACUCCUACGGGAGGCAGCAGUAGGGAAUCUUCCGCAAUGGGCGAAAGCCUGACGGAGCAACGCCGCGUGAGUGAUGAAGGUCUUCGGAUCGUAAAACUCUGUUAUUAGGGAAGAACAUAUGUGUAAGUAACUGUGCACAUCUUGACGGUACCUAAUCAGAAAGCCACGGCUAACUACGUG
rnacentral:rRNA from 1 species